UCAAGCGACUAAGUGCAUGUGGUGGAUGCCUUGGCGAUCACAGGCGAUGAAGGACGUGUAAGCCUGCGAAAAGCUUCGGGGAGCUGGCAAUAAAGCUUUGAUCCGAAGAUGUCCGAAUGGGGAAACCCACCCGCAAGGGUAUCGCUUACUGAAUACAUAGGUAAGCGAGGCGAACCCGGUGAACUGAAACAUCUAAGUAGCCGGAGGAAAAGAAAUCAACCGAGAUUCCGUAAGUAGUGGCGAGCGAACACGGAAGAGCCUGCUAGUGAUAGCGGAACUGUUAGGAGAACGGAAUGGAAAGUCCGGCCGUAGUGGGUGAUAGCCCCGUAUUCGAAAACAGAUCCGUGGUACUAAGUUAGCGAAAAGUAGGGCGGGGCACGUGAAACCUUGUCUGAACAUGGGGGGACCAUCCUCCAAGGCUAAAUACUCGUGAUCGACCGAUAGUGAACUAGUACCGUGAGGGAAAGGCGAAAAGAACCCCGGGAGGGGAGUGAAAUAGAACCUGAAACCGCAUGCAUACAAACAGUGGGAGCCUCCUUGAGGGGUGACUGCGUACCUUUUGUAUAAUGGGUCAGCGACUUACGUUGUGUUGCGAGCUUAACCGAAUAGGGGAGGCGUAGCGAAAGCGAGUCUGAUAAGGGCGUUUAGUAGCACGGCGUAGACCCGAAACCGGAUGAUCUAUCCAUGGCCAGGAUGAAGGUGCCGUAACAGGUACUGGAGGUCCGAACCCACUAACGUUGAAAAGUUAGGGGAUGAGCUGUGGAUAGGGGUGAAAGGCUAAACAAAUCCGGAAAUAGCUGGUUCUCCCCGAAAACUAUUUAGGUAGUGCGUCACAUAUCACUUCCGGGGGUAAAGCACUGUUAUGGCUAGGGGGUCAUCGCGACUUACCAAACCAUGGCAAACUCUGAAUACCGGAAAGUGCGAGUGUGGCAGACAGACAGUGGGUGCUAACGUCCAUUGUCAAGAGGGAAACAACCCAGACCGCCAGCUAAGGUCCCAAAGACAUGGUUAAGUGGGAAACGAAGUGGGAAGGCAUAGACAGCUAGGAGGUUGGCUUAGAAGCAGCCAUCCUUUAAAGAAAGCGUAAUAGCUCACUAGUCGAGUCGUCCUGCGCGGAAGAUGUAACGGGGCUCAAACCAUGCACCGAAGCUGCGGAUAUCCGUAAGGAUAUGGUAGGGGAGCGUUCUGUAGGUCUGUGAAGGUGUCUUGUAAAGGAUGCUGGAGAUAUCAGAAGUGCGAAUGCUGACAUGAGUAGCGAUAAAGGGAGUGAAAAGCUCCCUCGCCGAAAGCCCAAGGUUUCCUACGCAACGUUCAUCGGCGUAGGGUGAGUCGGCCCCUAAGGCGAGGCAGAAAUGCGUAGUCGAUGGGAAACAGGUCAAUAUUCCUGUACCGGCUCUAGAUGCGAUGUGGGGACGGAGAAGGUUAGGUCAGCCAACUGUUGGAAUAGUUGGUUUAAGCGUGUAGGCGUGCCCCUUAGGCAAAUCCGGGGGGCUAAGCUGAGGCGUGAUGACGAGGCACUACGGUGCUGAAGUGAUUGAUACCAAGCUUCCAGGAAAAGCCACUAAGCUUCAGUCUAGAGACGACCGUACCGCAAACCGACACAGGUGGGCAGGAUGAAAAUUCUAAGGCGCUUGAGAGAACUCAGGAGAAGGAACUCGGCAAAUUGACACCGUAACUUCGGGAGAAGGUGUGCCCCGGUAGGUUGUAGAGCCUCGCGCUCGAAGGCCGAUGGGGUUGCAGUGAAAUGGUGGCUGCGACUGUUUAAUAAAAACACAGCACUCUGCAAACACGAAAGUGGACGUAUAGGGUGUGACGCCUGCCCGGUGCCGGAAGGUUAAGUGAUGGGGUGCAAGCUCUUGAUCGAAGCCCCGGUAAACGGCGGCCGUAACUAUAACGGUCCUAAGGUAGCGAAAUUCCUUGUCGGGUAAGUUCCGAC
rnacentral:rRNA from 1 species